CCUACGGGUGGCAGCAGUAGGGAAUCUUCCACAAUGGGCGAAAGUCUGAUGGAGCAACGCCGCGUGGGUGAAGAAGGUCUUCGGAUCGUAAAACUCUGUUGUUAGAGAAGAAAGAGCGUGAGAGUAACUGUUCACGCUUUGACGGUAUCUAACCAGAAAGCCACGGCUAACUACGUGCCAGCAGCCGCGGUAAUACGUAGGUGGCAAGCGUUAUCCGGAUUUAUUGGGCGUAAAGGGAACGCAGGCGGUCUCUUAAGUCUGAUGUGAAAGCCUUCGGCUUAACCGGGGUAGUGCAUUGGAAACUGGGAGACUUGAGUGCAGAAGAGGAGAGUGGAACGCCAUGUGUAGCGGUGAAAUGCGUAGAUAUAUGGAAGAACACCAGUGGCGAAAGCGGCUCUCUGGUCUGUAACUGACGCUGAGGUUCGAAAGCGUGGGUAGCAAACAGGAUUAGAUACCCCGGUAGUC
rnacentral:rRNA from 1 species